CUUGUACCAGGGAAAAUAUAACAGAGAAGUGGCUUAGGAAAUUUGCCACUUGAGGCAGUGCUUGAGACCCCCUCAGGCACUUUAAAAUAUUUUUCCCGUGGGAGCCCAGAGAUGUUUUUCACUUGUCUUCUGAGGAUCUGAUUGCAGCCAAGGAAGAGAAGGGCAGCCUCUGGGGGCCCAUGCUGAGUUCAUCAGAUGUCCUGGGAACCAGCUGUCUAAGGGGCUGCCUUUCCCUACUGCAGGGACACAGCACUAAGUGGCAAGCUCCUGACUGUGUGCCUGACACGUAUUUUCUUAUUAGGAGUAGCUUCUCGGUUCUUGUGAAGAAGAGAGCACGCUGGGCAAGGCAACCCUCACCUGGUUGGGGAGCAGUGGCAGCUUGGAGGAAAAGGAGGGUACUUAUCAGGUCCUGUGAAUGCCCAGUGGACAAGACACAGAGGACGAUGGGUAGGGGGAGAGCCCAGCGAAAAGCACCUGAGACUCUUCAGGAGCCUCCAAGACAAUUUGGAGGGCUGUGUGAACAGACCCAAUGUUUGGAGCAGAUAAAAGCACAGCUGAUUAGACGGAAGCAGGAGUCCAGUCAAGCUCCCACUGGUCACCUGUGUGAGCUCUGGGGAUCUUUUUGAUAAGGAGGACAUUGAGUCCCAGAGAAGUGAAAUGACUUACCCAAAGCCACCCAACAGGUUUUUGAGGGAGAUGAGAAUGGGACUCUGGAUUCUGACUCUCAGAUGAAGGCUGUAUCUACUUUUUACUCUAACAUUUUUGAUUUAUGUCACAUAAAUUGCAUACUCAUUGUAGAAAACCUAAAAACAUACAGGCACAUACAAGAAAAUGAAAAUCAUUUUUAAUUCCAUGGCCAAGGAAUAACCAUUUUUAACAUUUUCAUGUAUAUCACUUCAGUAUUUAUCUUUGUGUAUACACACAAAGACUUGAGCUAUUUCAAAGUUGAGCUAUUUCCAGAUGAGCUAUUUCAAAUCCUGAAAGAUGAUGCUGUGAAAGUCCUGCACUCAGUAUACCAGCAAAUCUGGAAGUUCAGCAGUGGCCACAGGACGGGAAAAGGUCAGUUUUCAUUCCAAUCCCAAAGAAAGGAAAUGCCAAAGAAUGUUCAAACAACCGCACAACUGCACUCAUCUCACAUGAUAGCAAUGUAAUGCUCAAAAUUCUCCAAGCCAGACUUCAACAGUACAUGAACCAUGAAUGUCCAGAUGUUCAGGCUGGAUUUAGAAAAGGCAGAGGAACCAGAGAUCAAAUGGCCAACAUCUGCUGGAUCAUUGAAAAAGCAAGAGAGUUCCAGAAAAACACCUAUUUCUGCUUUAUUGACUGUGCCAAAGCCUUUGAUGUGUAGAUUACACAAACUGUGGAAAAUUCUGAAAGAGAUGGGAAUACCAGACCACCUGACCUACCUCCUGAGAAGUCUGUAUGCAGGUCAAGAAGCAACAGUUAGAAAUGAACAUGGAACAACAGACUGGUUCCAAGUAGGAAAAGGAGUACGUCAAGGCUGUAUAUUGUCACCCUGCUUAUUUAACUUAUGUGCAGAGUACAUCACGUGAAAUGCUGGGCUGGAUGAAGCACAAGCUGGAAUCAAGAUUGUGGGGAGAAAUAUCAAUAACCUCAGAUAUGUAGCUGACACCACCCUUAUGGCAGAAAGUGAAGAAGAACUAAAGAGCCUCUUGAUGAAAGUGAAAAAGGAGAGUACAAAAGUUGGCUUAAAACUCAGCAUUCAGAAAACUAAGAUCAUGGCAUCUGGUCCCAUCACUUCAUGGCAAGUAGAUGGGGAAACAAUUGAAAUAGUGAGAGACUUUAUUUUGGGGGGGCUCCAAAAUCACUGCAGAUGGUGACUGAAGCCAUGAAAUUAAAAGACGCUUACUCCUUGGAAGAAAAGCUAUGACCAACCUAGACAGCAUAUUAAAAAGCAGAGACAUUACUUUGCUAACAAAGGUUUGUCUAGCCAAAGCUAUGGUUUGUCCAGUAGUCAUGUAUGGAUGUGAGUUGGACUAUAAAGAAAGCUGAGUGCCAAAGAAUUGAUGCUUUUGAACUGUGGUGUUGGAGAAGACUCUUGAGAGUCCCUUGGACUGCAAGGAGAUCCAACCAGUCCAUUCUAAAGGAGAUCAGUCUUGAACAUUCAUUGGAAGGACUGAUGCUGAAGCUGAAACUCCAAUAUUUUGGCCAUCUGAUGCAAAGAACUGACUCAUUUGAAAAGACCCUGAUGCUGGGAAAGAUUGAAGGUGGGAGGAGAAGGGGACAACAGAGGAGGAGAUGGUUGGAUGGCAUCACUGACUCAAUGGACAUGAGUUUGCGUAGGCUCCAGGAAUUGGUGAUGGAUGGGGAAGCUUGACAUGCUGCAGUCCAUGGAGUCCCAAAGAGUCAGACAUGACUGAGCAACUGAACUGACCUGAUAUACACACAAGGUAACCUAAAAUAAACACUGUUUCAUAGCCUGAUUUUUUUUCUCU
ensembl:lncRNA